AUUUCAAAUCACUGAUGAAGCCUACUACUACUAGUGUGUCGUUUCUAGAUGUUUGGAGAGGGAAAAAAGAGGCUAAAAAAAGAUAGGCAAAGGACUCUCUGUGCAUAUAACAAGUUACAAGACAAUCUAAUAAUUACAACUUACGAAUUUGUCAAAAAUUGCAACUAUUUUUUACUAUGCAAAUUAAUAAGGUUGGAGAAAGAGGAAUAAAGUUUGGAACCGAAAAGAGUGGAUUGAAGGCAUGGGGAACGGUUGGUGGUGGUAGUGUCAAGCCACCACCAGUGUGAAGGUUAUUUCUUAGUCAUUUCAUCCAUCACCUUCUUCACUCUUCUCUUGUUGCUUCUCAACAACAAAAACAAACAUAAAUAUUAUGGCAAAACAACAAAGAAGAACCUCGGUUUUCCUAAAAAAAAAACUGAUACACAAGCAUAACCAUAUGGGGACUGGAGACUUCUAUGAUAUGGAUAGUAAAAACAAUCCACACAUAUGGAUAGUAUGUGUCAAGACUAUCAACUACAGUUUUGCAACACGUGGCAUUAGUGUCUUUUGACUUUUAGACCUUUUGCAGAAAGGAUGUGCAGUAACGUAGAGGGUGGCAGUUGAUGUGCAGAAUGUAUUGCACAAUAGAGUUGAUUAAAAGUGGGAUUAAGUCUAAUGAUUUUUGUGUUUUUUUUAUUGGUUCACCGUAAGUGCUCCCUUCUUUUGUGGAUUCAGACCUAAUGGUAGAAAAUGCUUGAUUUUGGGCAUGGAUUGAGAUUUUUUUUUUUUUUUGUGGUUUUGUGAAAAAUUGUUAUCUUCUAUUUGAUCUCAGGAACAUGUAGCUACUUUUCAUGACCAUGACGAUGCCGAAUUGCCAAAUCGCUUUCUUCAGUUGGCUACCUCAAACCUUUCGCAGGUGUGUUAAUUUUCUAUAUCAUGUUCUGUUAAUAUUUUUAGAAUAUUGGAUCGGAUUAGUUUAAGGUCUGAUUUAUCAGUUUUCCGGUCGAAUGUUCAGUCCAAUUUUAAUAAUUAUAGUCUAAGAUAUGUCACCACAAAUCUACAAGUUUAAAUAAUUUUUGGUAUUCAUACCAUAGUCACUUCCUAAAAAAUAUUAAAUAUUUUUAGUGGCAAAUAUUAAUUUGUUUUGCAAAUACCAAAGAGAAUAGUAAUCGUCCGUUACUUUCUAAAUACUAUAAUAACAUUUUUAAUUUCUUUUUUCAAUUUUGGUUUUAAUUUGUUAUUGCUUUCCUGUAUUUUAAGUUAAUUAGUUUGGUCAUAUUUAUUUGAAAGUACCAAAAAUAUGAAUAAGAACUAAAACUCUUAUAUUUUUUGUUUCAUUUGAUUUCAGCAUCGAUUACUUGAUUCAUUUUCCAAGAUAAAUCCCUCUCUCCAGAUCCAAUAUCUCAACUUCUCUAGAGGUGUGUUAAUCUUUUGUAAUAUAUUAUAAUUUCAUAAAUAUUAUAGUAUAGAUAAAUAUAAAUUUAUCAAAUGAUAAGAAAUGAUAUCAUAUUCUGUUAACACUUUAAGAAUGUUGGACCUAAUUAAUUUAGAAUUUGAUUCACCGAUUUUUUAAUCGAACCGGUCGAUACGGUAUAGUUUUAAUAACUAUGUUCUAUGCCAGUGCCACUACAUAGUUUUUUUCCUUUCUAAAUACUAAGAAAUAUUAUGUUUUUAUUUUUAAUUUUAGUUUUAAUUUGUUAUUGCUUUUCUAAGUCAUGUUCUUUAAAAAUUCUAAUAUUUUCAAUUUUAUUCUUAACGUUUUUAAUUUGUGUCAAAAUUACCUAGACGUUAACUUGACGUAAAUUGUUAAGGAUAAAAUUGAAAAUUUUUAAUGAUAGUUUUGACACAAAUCGAAAAUAUUAUAGGCAAAAUUGAAUGAAUAAAAAAUGCUAGAUACAAAAUUGAAUAAAAUUUUAUGUUUGGAGUAUUUUUUUAAAAAGAUUGUAAAUAUUAGAGACAAAAAAUAUAUUUUAUCCUUAAAAAUUAAUGGUUCAAAAUAAAAGAUUAAUAAACACAUAGUUAACAUAUUUUUUUAGAUAUAAUUAAGAUAUGACUCUUUUUAACAUUACUAUUUACAUAUUUCUAAUUUAUUUGUUAUAAAAAUUAUUAUUUAAUUACUAAUUAUUUGUUAACUCUAUUUAAUUUCAGGGACAUGAUGACAGUGACCCACCCUUAUCUCCUAUCCCUCCUUUUAUUAGGGUGAAAAAGAAAUGUAUUGGGUUACCUUUACUAGGUCUUUUAUUCUGUUUUUUGUUUGAGAUUUUAGUUUACAUGAUCGGGAAGUUUAAGGAUAAGUCUAAUAAGGGUAAUUCUAUAAAGAAGUUUGUGGUAAUUGUGAAUGCCAUCUAUUUCAUAGUAGUUACUCUAAGUACAAUAGGAUAUGGGAAUAUUACCCCUAGUUCUAAAUCUGGUAAAAUCGGAACUAUGGUUUUAGCUCUUUUGUGUCCUGUGGUUUCUAAUAUUCUUGAAAGCUACCUGAAAUACAUUCUUAGAAAAUUAGAAACGUGCUUAGUUAAAAAGUUAGAAGGAGGCAUGUUAGAUUGUUUGGUAGUUAACCAUAAAAUAGUUUAUUGGGCAAAAUUUUUCUUAGCGGUUCUUGCUGGCCCGUUUGUCUUUAGCAUCGGAGCAGUCAUAGUCCAUCGUUCAGAGCAAAUGAAUUGGUUAGAUAGUUUUUAUUUUUCUGUGAUUUCCAUAACAACAGUAGGUUUUGGAGAUUACUCUUUUAGAACGCUAGUAGGAAAGUGUGUUGCAUGUAUUUGGUUUUUAUUUAGUUCUGUUAUUUAUAGUUUUGCAAUUUUAUUUCUGAUUAAUUGUAUUCUUAGGCCAAUUACUCCUCAAAAUGAAUGAAUUGUAUUUUGUGAAUUGUAAAAUGACAAUGAAUGAACUGUUUUCUUUUCUAUAUCUUUUUUCUUCUUUCUUCCUAAUAUAUUUAAUUAGUUUCAAUCAAAUUAAACCUUUUUAUUCUAAUUAUAAAAGAUUGGUAAAAUUAUAAAAUGAGAUAUUAAUUAUUAUUUUAUUUAUAAUUUUUAUCACUUUAUUAUCAUUUAAAUGCCGACUCCCCUUUACUUGUCCCUCUUUUAGAGGAAAAACUAUACCUAUACUAGGAGAACCUAGUAAUCUAAUUGGGACAAUGGUUGUUAAUAUGUAGAUAAAGGAAAGAUUAGGUUGGCCUGAAUCAUCAUGUGUUACGCAACAGUUGCAGGGAUAAGCUCAAUCUUUCUUAAAUCAAUCAAAGCAUGAUAUGCACAGUAGAUUAUUUAUUAUUAGUCAUUAGAAAUAUUGCUAAUAAUAUUUGACAAGAUACUCCAAAUUUCAAAUCACUGAUGAAGCCUACUACUACUAGCGUGUCGUUUCUAGAUGUUUGGAGGGGGAAAAAAGAGGCUAAAAAAGAUAGGCAAAGGACUCUCUGUGCAUAUAACAAGUUACAAGACAAUCUAAUAAUUACAACUUACGAAUUUGUCAAAAAUUACAACUAUUUUUUACUAUGCAAAUUAAUAAGGAUGGAGAAAGAGGAAUAAAGUUUGGAACCGAAAAGAGUGGAUUGAAGCCAUGGGGAACGGUUGGUGGUGGUAGUAUCAAGCCACCACCAGUUUGAAGGUUGUUUCUUAGUCAUUUCAUCCAUCACCUUCUUCACUCUUCUCUUGUUACUUCUUAACAACAAUAACAAACAUAAAUAUGAUGGCAAAACAACAAAGAAGAACCUCGG
rnacentral:lncRNA from 1 species